CCUACGGGUGGCUGCAGUGGGGAAUAUUGCACAAUGGGGGAAACCCUGAUGCAGCGACGCCGCGUGAGUGAUGAAGUAAUUCGUUACGUAAAGCUCUAUCAGCAGGGAAGAAAAUGACGGUAACUGAGUAAGAAGCUCCGGCUAACUCCGUGACAGCAGCCGCGGUAAUACGUCGGGGGAAAGGGUUAUCCGGAUUUACGGGGGGAAAGGGGAGCGUAGACGGUGCGCAAAGGCUGGGGUGAAAUGCCGCAGCUUAACUGGGGAACUGCUUUGGAAACUGGCGAACUAGAGGGCGGGAGGGGGAAGCGGAAUUCCUGGUGUGGCGGUGAAAUGCGUAGAAAUUAGGAGGAACACCGGUGGCGAAGGCAGCCUGCGGGACUGUAACUGACGUUGAGGCUCGAAAGCGUGGGGAGCAAACAGGAUUAGAUCCCCUGUAGUC
rnacentral:rRNA from 1 species